rnacentral:rRNA from 1 species
AGUGGACGCUGGCGGUAGGCCUAACACAUGCAAGUCGAACGGCAGCACAGUAAGAGCUUGCUCUUACGGGUGGCGAGUGGCGGACGGGUGAGGAAUACAUCGGAAUCUACUUUUUCGUGGGGGAUAACGUAGGGAAACUUACGCUAAUACCGCAUACGACCUACGGGUGAAAGCAGGGGAUCUUCGGACCUUGCGCGAUUGAAUGAGCCGAUGUCGGAUUAGCUAGUUGGCGGGGUAAAGGCCCACCAAGGCGACGAUCCGUAGCUGGUCUGAGAGGAUGAUCAGCCACACUGGAACUGAGACACGGUCCAGACUCCUACGGGAGGCAGCAGUGGGGAAUAUUGGACAAUGGGCGCAAGCCUGAUCCAGCCAUACCGCGUGGGUGCAGAAGGCCUUCGGGUUGUAAAGCCCUUUUGUUGGGAAAGAAAAGCAGCAGGUUAAUACCCCGCUGUUCUGACGGUACCCAAAGAAUAAGCACCGGCUAACUUCGUG